rnacentral:sRNA from 14 species
UUUCAUUUUGAUACGUAUCAACAUUCGUAAAAAAAAGUGCAGAUGCAAACAUAACCGCCAAAACCACUGAUCCUUUCGUUGGUUUUAAGGAUUCGAACAUGCCAUUUGGCAUUGGAGCGGACAUUGGA